rnacentral:rRNA from 1 species
UACGGAGGAUCCAAGCGUUAUCCGGAUUUAUUGGGUUUAAAGGGUGCGUAGGCGGUUUAUUAAGUCAGUGGUGAAAGCCCGGAGCUCAACUUCGGAACUGCCAUUGAUACUGAUAGACUUGAGUACAGAUGAAGUGGGCGGAAUGUGACAAGUAGCGGUGAAAUGCUUAGAUAUCGUCAAGAACACCGAUAGUGUAGACAGCUAACUAAGCUUUAACUGACGCUGAGGCACGAAAGUGUGGGGAUCAAACAGG